rnacentral:rRNA from 1 species
GAUGAACGCUGGCGGCGUGCUUAACACAUGCAAGUCGAACGGGAAAUAUUUCAUUGAGACUUCGGUGGAUUUGAUUUAUUUCUAGUGGCGGACGGGUGAGUAACGCGUGGGUAACCUGCCUUAUACAGGGGGAUAACAGUCAGAAAUGGCUGCUAAUACCGCAUAAGCGCACAGAGCUGCAUGGCUCAGUGUGAAAAACUCCGGUGGUAUAAGAUGGACCCGCGUUGGAUUAGCUAGUUGGUGGGGUAACGGCCCACCAAGGCGACGAUCCAUAGCCGGCCUGAGGGGGUGAACGGCCACAUUGGGACUGAGACACGGCCCAGACUCCUACGGGAGGCAGCAGUGGGGAAUAUUGCACAAUGGGGGAAACCCUGAUGCAGCGACGCCGCGUGAAGGAAGAAGUAUCUCGGUAUGUAAACUUCUAUCAGCAGGGAAGAUAGUGACGGUACCUGACUAAGAAGCCCCGGCUAACUACGUG